rnacentral:rRNA from 1 species
CUCUGGUGUACCAGUUGUCGUGCCAACGGCAUAGCUGGGUAGCUAUGUGUGGACGGGAUAAGUGCUGAAAGCAUCUAAGCAUGAAGCCCCCCUCAAGAUGAGAUUUCCCAACUUCGGUUAUAAGAUCCCUCAAAGAUGAUGAGGUUAAUAGGUUCGAGGUGGAAGCAUGGUGACAUGUGGAGCUGACGAAUACUAAUCGAUCGAAGACUUAAUCAAAA